rnacentral:rRNA from 1 species
AUAAUUUUAGGUUUAACCUGCCCACUGAAUAUUUAAAUGGCCGCAGUAUUUUGACUGUGCAAAGGUAGCAUAAUCAUUAGUUUUUUAAUUGAAAGCUUGUAUGAAAGGUUGAAUAAGAAAAUUACUGUCUUAAUUUAAAUUUUAGAAUUUUAUUUUUUAGUUAAAAAGCUUAAAUGUUUUUAAAAGACGAGAAGACCCUUUAGAGUUUAAUAUUUUUAAGUAAAAUUUUUUUUAGUAUUUAUAUUUUUAUUAUUUAUUGAUAUUUGAUUGGGGUGAUUUAAAAAUUUAUAAAACUUUUUAUAUUUUAUACUUUAAUUAAUGAAUUAUUGAUCCAAUUAUUUUGAUUAUAAGAUUAAAUUACCUUAGGGAUAACAGCGUAAUUUUUUUUGAGAGUUCUAAUCGAAAAAAAAGUUUGCGACCUCGAUGUUGGAUUAAAAUAAAAAAUUGGUGUAGAAGCUAAUUAUUUGGGUCUGUUCGACCCUUAAAAUUUUACAUGAUCUGAGUUUAAACCGGUGUGAGCCAGGUUGGUUUCUAUCUUUAAAAUAAGUAAAUAUUUUAGUACGAAAGGACCAAAUAUUAAAUUAAUAAUUUAAUUUUAGAUUAAUUUUAUUAUUUUGGCAGAUAAGUGUGAUAGAUUUAGAAUCUUUUAAUGUAAUUUUUACAAAUAAUAUUGUUAUUGAUAGAUUUAAUUUUAAUUUAUAUUUCUUCUUUGAUUUUAAUUAUUUGUGUAUUAAUUGGGGUGGCUUUUUUAACUUUAUUAGAGCGAAAAAUUUU